AAACCUGCCAGCCAGCCCACUAUCAGAAGGCUCGAGUCACGUACGAUCCGCUGUCAUUAUAUAAGGAAGUACGAAGCUUUGUGUCAAAACGAACCAAGUCAGGAAAGAGCUACAACAACACUAUCAUAAAAAUCUCAAUUUUUAGUACAAUACCAACAUGAAUUACAGAAAGGUUGUUGCACUGAUGGYGCUUUGCUGUUUGGUCCUCGCUACAGCUCGAAAAAUCGACAAUSUGGACCUUAAUGAUUUAUUGGACACUGAAACAAG